UACGUAAGGUCCGAGCGUUGUCCGGAAUUACUGGGCGUAAAGAGCUCGUAGGUGGUUUGUCGCGUCGGCUGUGAAAAUCCCGUGGCUUAACUGCGGGUCUGCAGCCGAUACGGGCAGGCUAGAGUUCGGUAGGGGAGACUGGAAUUCCUGGUGUAGCGGUGAAAUGCGCAGAUAUCAGGAGGAACACCGGUGGCGAAGGCGGGUCUC
rnacentral:rRNA from 1 species